AGAUUUAUAUGUUUAGGCUUUAAUUCUUUAAUGCAACGAUACUGCAUGGCUAUGUCUUUAAGGGACACUCAUGUUUUCGUUGAGAGACAACCUUGGUUCUCAAGAAUGGAUUGGUGCUUUUCAGAGUGGAUUGCAUACAACCUGUGGGCGUCUCGGUUGGCUCUUCUCACGUACCCAUCAGCCCUUCUGCUUGGAAUGGGAUGACGCCCUCAGCAGACACUGAGGAGAUGUGGCUGCCAUGAACUCCCAACCCCCCCAGAACUGGGAAACAUUGAAUGUUCUUCAACCAAGCUUUACUCUCUCAACUCACCCUCAGAAUCCGAUUGAAGUCUUCCUUGUCAACUCUUAGGAAGUGACAAUUAUCUUCCCGAAGAACAAUGGAUGCAGCUCUCGGAGCAUCGUUCACCAGAGCUAACUUGCCAAAGUCAUCUCCCUCAUGCAGGGUGCAGACCACACCCUGGGGAGAGCAGGACAGUCAGGAAAAAAAAAAGGGACCAAAAACCCUCCUUCCCCUCCCCUGCCACCAAACACCGUGCCUAUCUGAUCACAGAACUGAAGAACAAGGUGAAUUCUAGAGAGAGGCCCCAUAUGAGUGUACCACUGACUAUGUGAGUCUCUGAUGACUGAUACUAAAUGAGUUUCUGAGGCAAAGAAAUCCUCUUGGGCUUGGAGUCCAUGGUGCAGUGUGAAGAAAACCGGGAAACACAAUACUUCAAACAGAACAGUAACAGGAAGUUUCGAGAAAUUAGUUUUUUGUAAAUAAAGCCCUUUUUAGUGA